rnacentral:rRNA from 1 species
AGUGAACGCUGGCGGUAGGCCUAACACAUGCAAGUCGAACGGCAGCACAGUAAGAGCUUGCUCUUACGGGUGGCGAGUGGCGGACGGGUGAGGAAUACAUCGGAAUCUACUUUUUCGUGGGGGAUAACGUAGGGAAACUUACGCUAAUACCGCAUACGACCUACGGGUGAAAGCAGGGGAUCUUCCGACCUUGCGCGAUUGAAUGAGCCGAUGUCGGAUUAGCUAGUUGGCGGGGUAAAGGCCCACCAAGGCGACGAUCCGUAGCUGGUCUGAGAGGAUGAGCAGCCAAACUGGAACUGAGAAACGGUCCAGACUCCUACGGGAGGCAGCAGUGGGGAAUAUUGGACAAUGGGCGCAAGCCUGAUCCAGCAUACCGCGUGGGUGAAGAAGGCCUUCGGGUUGUAAAGCCCUUUUGUUGGGAAAGAAAAGCAGCAGGUUAAUACCCCGCUGUUCUGACGGUACCCAAAGAAUAAGCACCGGCUAACUUCGUG